AUUGAACGCUGGCGGCAUGCCUUACACAUGCAAGUCGAACGGUAACGCGGGGCAACCUGGCGACGAGUGGCGAACGGGUGAGUAAUAUAUCGGAACGUGCCCAGUAGUGGGGGAUAGCCCGGCGAAAGCCGGAUUAAUACCGCAUACGACCUAUGGGUGAAAGCGGGGGAUCGCAAGACCUCGCGCGAUUGGAGCGGCCGAUAUCAGAUUAGGUAGUUGGUGGGGUAAAAGCCUACCAAGCCGACGAUCUGUAGCUGGUCUGAGAGGACGACCAGCCACACUGGGACUGAGACACGGCCCAGACUCCUACGGGAGGCAGCAGUGGGGAAUUUUGGACAAUGGGCGCAAGCCUGAUCCAGCCAUGCCGCGUGCGGGAAGAAGGCCUUCGGGUUGUAAACCGCCUUUGUCAGGGAAGAAAUCUUCUGAGCUAAUACCUCGGGAGGAUGACGGUACCUGAAGAAUAAGCAUCGGCUAACUACGUGCCAGCCGCCGCCGUAAAAC
rnacentral:rRNA from 1 species